UACGUAGGGUGCAAGCGUUAAUCGGAAUUACUGGGCGUAAAGCGUGCGCAGGCGGUGAUGUAAAACAGAUGUGAAAUCCCCGGGCUCAACCUGGGAACUGCAUUGUGACUGCAUCGCUGGAGUGCGGCAGAGGGGAUGGAAUUCCGCGUGUAGCAGUGAAAUGCGUAGAUAUGCGGAGGAACACCGAUGGCGAAGGCAAUCCCCUGGGCCUGCACUGACGCUCAUGCACGAAAGCGUGGGGAGCAACAGG
rnacentral:rRNA from 1 species